GGAGAGGUGUCCGAGUGGUUGAUGGUGACGCACUCGAAAUGCGUUCUAGGGAAACCUAGCGGGGGUUCGAAUCCCCCCCUCUCCG
rnacentral:tRNA from 1 species